UACGGAGGGGGCGAGUGUUACUCAUCAUGACUAGGCGUAAAGGGUGUUAAGAUGGCUAAGGAUUGUCUUAACUGAAAAAGUCAAUUGAAAUAUUGAAAAUGUUAUUUAAACAAUUUUAGCUUGAGUAGAUUUGGAGAAUAGAAUUACUAGUUUUUAAGGGGUAGAAUCCAACGAGAAGAUUAGGAGAAAACGAAGGCGAAAGGCAAACUAUUUUAUGGUCAACUAACAUUAAUAAACACAAAAAGCGUGGGGGGAGCAAACAGGA
rnacentral:rRNA from 1 species